CAAAAAUAAUUAAUAAAGCUCUUCUCUCACACACACGUCAUUCUGAGAAAAAUCCUUUCUCACACUCCACUCAAUACCGUUACACUCAGCUCACACCUCACCCACAACUCUCAUUAAACCCUCACUCCAUCACUCAUUUCCCAUGACGCGCCUCUCCUCACAAUCCUCAACGUCUCUCUUCACCGUUACUACCUCUCACUCUCACAAUCCCUCACACUCCCUCACACGCCUCAUUAUCCCUCUGUAAAAAAGGCUGAAAAAAGAAAAAAAGAGAAAGAGAAGUAAAGGAGGAGACUCUUCGUCUCCUUCAAAACCCAAACACCACCAUCCAAAAAUCUCACCUCCAUCAUCACAAACCACAAAACCUCACCGUUCACCCACCUUCGCCUCCGCCUUCUUCCAUCAACCCCACAACCGCGCUCAAACCUUCACUUCGCCUCCUUCGUCUUCCAACAAGUGAAACCACCGAUCCACCCACCAACAACAACGCCUUCACGACUCCGGAGAACUCCACCCUCCAUCCAAGAUCCGCCUCCACACAUCUUCCUCACUGUCGAUUCACCAUCCACCGUCAAAACCGCUAUCACAAACCCACAAAACUCACAGAUCUACAACCCACCUUCACCGACGACUUACCUCAACCAUCGCCACCGUCCGCCAUUUCAAUCGCAACUCCAACCGUUGCCGCCGUCAAAAACUCCACGAGGAAGUCUAUCUUCCAUUCUUCUCCGGAUCCACCACGUCUUCAACCGUCCAACGAUUUCUCUCUUCCUCCGGCCGACUCCACAGUCCCAAACUUCAUUCCAGAUUCGCAUCCAACCCAGCAGUGAUCAACAACAACGGAUUUGUUCAAACUCAGCUUUCCGACAACAUCACCUUGACAACAACUCAGCAAACAGGGCAAGUCUUUAACAUCAAAGAGGACAGAAACUCAACAACACAAUGAAAGAUGAACUCAGCCGUUAAAGCAUUAUGGGUGUCGAAUCGAUGAGUUUAAAGUGUUGCGUCUCGGUGAGGUUUUUUUUUGCUCCAUGGUAUAGGCUGUGAAAAUUGAAUGCAACAGCGUAAAAGUAUGACUUCCUGCAGGACCACAACAACAAGUAAUGGAGUGCUUCUUGUACGGUGCCGAAUUCAAGUCGAUAAUGGGGACGUUCCGUGUUCACUAUGUUAUGAGGCUUUGGUUUGUAUAUUGUUUCUAUCUCUUGUAUGAUAAUUAGGCUUAAGUGUGGGGGUGUGUGCUUUAGAAUCAUAUUGUUUGGUAUAUCUUUCAUGUUUGUACAUAAUUUGGUGACAUUGUAAAACAAUGCAUUGUAAUUAUUUUGUUUUCAUUAUGCUAAAUUGAAAUUUUAAUUCGCA